rnacentral:rRNA from 1 species
UACGUAGGGUGCGAGCGUUAAUCGGAAUUACUGGGCGUAAAGCGUGCGCAGGCGGUUAUGCAAGCCAGAAGUGAAAGCCCCGGGCUUAACCUGGGAAUGGCGUUUGGGACUGCAUGGCUAGAGUACGUCAGAGGGGGGUGGAAUUCCACGUGUAGCAGUGAAAUGCGUAGAGAUGUGGAGGAACACCGAUGGCGAAGGCAGCCCCCUGGGAUGAUACUGACGCUCAGGCACGAAAGCGUGGGGAGCAAACAGG